rnacentral:rRNA from 1 species
UAAUACGUAGGGUGCAAGCGUUAAUCGGAAUUACUGGGCGUAAAGCGUGCGCAGGCGGUUUUGUAAGACAGAGGUGAAAUCCCCGGGCUCAACCUGGGAACUGCCUUUGUGACUGCAAGGCUGGAGUGCGGCAGAGGGGGAUGGAAUUCCGCGUGUAGCAGUGAAAUGCGUAGAUAUGCGGAGGAACACCGAUGGCGAAGGCAAUCCCCUGGGCCUGCACUGACGCUCAUGCACGAAAGCGUGGGGAGCAAACAGGAUUAGAUACCCUGGUAGUCCACGCCCUAAACGAUGUCAACUGGUUGUUGGGUCUUCACUGACUCAGUAACGAAGCUAACGCGUGAAGUUGACCGCCUGGGGAGUACGGCCGCAAGGUUG